GACGAACGCUGGCGGCGUGCUUAACACAUGCAAGUCGAACGGAAAGGCCCUGCUUUUGUGGGGUGCUCGAGUGGCGAACGGGUGAGUAACACGUGAGUAACCUGCCCUUGACUUUGGGAUAACUUCAGGAAACUGGGGCUAAUACCGGAUAGGAGCUCCUGCUGCAUGGUGGGGGUUGGAAAGUUUCGGCGGUUGGGGAUGGACUCGCGGCUUAUCAGCUUGUUGGUGGGGUAGUGGCUUACCAAGGCUUUGACGGGUAGCCGGCCUGAGAGGGUGACCGGCCAAACUGGGACUGAGAUACGGCCCAGACUCCUACGGGAGGCAGCAGUGGGGAAUAUUGCACAAUGGGCGGAAGCCUGAUGCAGCAACGCCGCGUGCGGGAUGACGGCCUUCGGGUUGUAAACCGCUUUCGCCUGUGACGAAGCGUGAGUGACGGUAAUGGGUAAAGAAGCACCGGCUAACUACGUG
rnacentral:rRNA from 1 species